AUCCUAUGAUAAGGGCACUUACGAAGUAAUUCUUUGAAUCUCUCCCAUGCCUUAUACAAAGAUUUUUCAUUCAAUUGUUGAAAAGUGGUUAUCUCAUUUUGCAAUUU
rfam:Gossypium hirsutum cultivar TM-1 chromosome 10, whole genome shotgun sequence